ensembl:lncRNA
UUCAAAGAGACUGCUCUGAGGUCCCUGGGGAAACAGUUUUGGGUGGUAGUUUUACAUUUCAAAGGGCAGAGAAAGGAUUUAGAAUUGCCAGCUUUCUUAAGUAACUGCUCUAAGAGGGGCUUCAGAGGCCUAUCUGCCUAUUACCAGGUUUUGGCUGGAAGAAAAAGUAAAUUCUGGGAGCAUUGAGAUUUCUCAGGAAGGCACUUCAAAGGGGGCUGGAGUCAUCCUAGGCCCAUGGCUUGAGGCUGAGGGAAGCAUGCUAGAGUUUAACAAGUCUCUUAGUGUAAGAUUUGGAAGGAAUAUUAUGUGCUGAGAGUUCUGCUGUUCUCAGGACACAGCCAUUUAAACACAGCCUGUCUCUGCAGGUGUCACUCUUCCAGUGGAGUUUGGACCAGUUCAGGGCAGUUGAUCAUUGCAUCUCUUAACAUAACUGAAAAACAAUUCUGAGAAACAGAUGCUAUAAACAUUUUUUUCAAUGCAUUUCUCCCUCCUUAGAAGGUUUCACAAAUUCAGUUCCAAAAAGGAGGUACAAAGUGUAACUCGACAGGUGGAUAAAGUUUAGACCAGUGCCCCCAACUGGUUACCAAUAGGAGUCUACCAAGCAGUUACCCCGGGAGCCUCAUGGAGAACCACGUCUGCUACAAACCUACUGAAGCGCAGACAGAGUGUCCUUUACUAAUCUGUGUUUUUCAUCUCUCUUUUUCAUGUUUCUUCCAUCCCUCUUUUGCUCUCUCUCUUCCUUUCUUACAUGAAUAUAAUGAUUGCAAAUAUGUUAUACCAUUUCUCUCCAUCUUUCUCCUCUUGGGGAUUUCAAUCCAGACUGUUUUUAUUCAUUUUACAUUUUAGGUGAAGAUUUCUUGACUCCCUUGUUAUCUCUUUUGCUCCUUCAGUGAAUCUUUAUCAAGUGCUGGCUGUGUCCCAGGCAGUGUUCUAGGGCAGAUGAUGUGGGAUAUAUUGGGUUAUCAGAGAAGAUCUCUUUUAUUAUGUGUCAUUUGAGUAGGGGCCAGAAUAACAAGAAUGAACCAGUCAUAUGAUGAUCCUGGAAAGGAAAGUAAGGGCUUAGGUGCUGGGCCAAGGGGUUGAUUGGAAUGUUUCAGAAAAAAAAAAGGAAAGAAGGCAGAACUGGGAAAUUCGUCAGGUGCAGAUCGUGUAAGUGCUUAUGCACCAGUGUAUGAGUCCGCAAGAGCUGUCGUAACACAAUACCACAGACUGGAUGGCUUAAACAACAGAAAUUUAUUUCUCACAGUUCUGGAGGCUGGAAGUCUAAGAUCAAGGUGUCGGCAGGUUUGGUUUCUCGUGAGGCCUCUCUCCUCGGCUUGCAGAUGGCCGCCUUCUUGAUGUGUCCUCUCAUGGCCUGUUCUCUGGGCAUACACAUCCCUGGUUUCUCUUCUUAUAGGGACAUCAGUCAUAUUGCAUUAGGGUCCCACCCUUAUGACCUCCUUUAACCUUAAUUACAUCUUUAAAGGCCCUAUCUUCAAAUAUAGCCACAUUCUAAAGUAUUGGGAGUUACAGUUUCAACAUAGGAAUUCAGGGAGAACAUAAUUCAGUUCAUAACCACCAGGAUUAAGGAGUUGGGUUGAAUUCUAAGUGUCAUGGGAGGCCAUGGUAGGAUUUCAUAUGGGGUGAGUGGCUCUUCCAUGUGAUUUGUUCAUCUUAUACUCUGAGUUGGAGCUUGGAGGUGAGUAUUACUGUCACCAGACAUGAACCCUAACCUGCUUCUCUUGUCCUGCUUAAAAAUAUAACUUUUAUGUUUGACCUAAUUCUCUUGUCUUCCUGAAAGGUGCAGGUGUUCCUUUAUGUAACACCUUGGGGCCUUGAGCUUAGGCAGUUUUCAGCUACAUUCCGAGAAGAAGCUCUAAGUGAGAACCAUCAUGGACCCAGCUGUGCUGAACCAGAUCAGGCCAGCCCAGACCACAGCCACAAGACUGGCACCUGCACAGAUAGGCCGAGAGUUGUACUGAAAUAACCUGCCCUCAUUAACAUGGUAAAAUCCCCUCCUUGGAGAAGGAGAAAGCAGUCAUUUUUAGGUCAUGCGAUGUAUGUAGAAGCAUGCCCUUAAACCAUGCAUGCGCAAGCUUAUGCCCCCCGCUACAUGAGAUGAUGGAACUCUCCCUUUGAAUAUUCAUCCCCUACCUGAAUAAAGAUACCUACCUCCCUGUGCAUGGGGGACCAUAGCUUUCUGACAUUAUUCCCUAUAGUCUCCACCUUUUUCUUUGCUGCCUGCCGUAAAUAAAAACUCGACUUUGUGAAGUAGCACCAGCUACUUCUGGUGCAGUUUGAUUUAAUUCCCAAGAAGGGACCCACAUUUGGUCCAGUAACAUUAUUAUGUAUCCACUUUUCUGAUAUGUGAUGUUUGGGCAUAGGGCAGGGAGAAUUCGGCAGGGAAUACACAGCCUUUGUUGGAGAAACCAGGGUUCCAUCCUCUCUUUCGAGCUUGUGUUAAGUAGAAUCUACAAAAGUUCUCUCCACCAAGCCUGAAAUAUAUUUUAGUCCCAUGGUGUAGGAAUUGUGCAAUUCAGCUUAGAAGCCCAAAGCUCUGAAUGUUCAGUCUGCUUCAUCAGACUGUCUACUGACUGACACAGCUCCAGUAUUCAGCAGAAGCAAAAAUAAGGAGGAUUUCUCUGGAGUGGUUGGGUGAAGGUCAAGUGACUUUGGACUCCCAGUGUACUUCUCCACCCCUACUGCCAGUCCUCUACUCCCUUACAGAGUUUUGUAGUUUCUGUGCCCUCCAUUUAUUGCUUAGAAUAAUUAUCCAGAUAAAGCUGUGAUGAUUUUACUCCUUCCACCUUUCUUUCAGUCUGAGGAGACAAUCUGGAUGGGGGUUGUCUUCUGGAACUUUUUCCUGCUUCAACUGAAGUCCCAUUGUGAUGGUUUUCUUCACAGUUUUCUCUGAAUGCAGGCUCUGUCCCUCAGUGUGUCUUGUUCUACAUUUGUGAAUGCUAGUGAAUAUUCUCGAGAUCUUCCAA